rnacentral:lncRNA from 1 species
CCGCGUCCCAUCCCGUCUGGCACACUACCCUCCAUUUCUUCAUUCUUGGAGUCUAGAGCAGGAACAGCAGCAUGUGACCGAGAGCCUCCAGCUAAGAUGGCAGCCCAUGUCACAUGGGACCUGUGAGAGCUUAAAAGCACACUGAAGUGGAGGUGACACCCAGGUCUAUCACUCCACAUACCAGGACAAGCUUAGACCUUGCUACGUGGCAAUGGCAGCCCAGCACACAGGAGAGUCAACAGCCAAGCGAUCUAAUUCAGGGACCACAACUCCCCAGGAAGCAC